UAUUGUUUGACAGUACUUUCAGUCAAAUGAAGGCAAUUCAAGCCAAAGUACAUGUUCAAUUUGCAAUGCCGAUUUGUCUCGUGGUGGCAAGGACCCUAAACAAUACACAACAGA